CGACCUCGGGGGUGCUGGACUACGCACUGAACUUAAGCAUAUCAUUAAGUGCAGGAAAAGAAACCAAAUGGGAUUCCAUAGUAACGGCGAGUGAAGUGGGAUGAGCUCAGCACCGAAGCCGGCGGCCGAGAGGCCGUCGUGCAAUGUGGUGUUCGGGAGGGCUCUGUCCGUGUCCGGUGUCGGUCCAAGUUCCUGGAAAGGAUUCCGUGGAGGGUGACAGGCCCGUGCGACCGAUCGCCGCGCUCGCGGACGAGUCCUCCUUCGAGUCGGGUUGCUCGCUAAUGCAGCCCUAAGCAGGUGGUAAGCUCCAUCUAAAGCUAAAUAUAACCACGAGUCCGAUAGUCAACAAGUACAGUGAUGGAAAGUUGAAAAGUACUCUGAAGAGAGAGUCAAAUAGCCCGUGAAGCUGCCAGCAUGGGAUUAAGCGCACGUGUGACGCGUGUCGUCGGACAAAUAGGCGCUCGUCGGCUGACGCACGGUGCGCGCUCGGUAUCGGAAACGGUGCCGGCGCGUGCUGCUGUCGGCCGGUCGGCGGCGCGCUUCCCUUUGUUUGACAUUGGCAGGUGGGCCUCGUUGUCCGUUUAUUGCCGGUCGUUAUCCGUCGAGCCGUGUCGGGCCGGCGCCGUCUUCGGACGUGUGCCGGUGCUCCGUGGAAUGUGCGCCUCUGGCGGCCACGGCCGGCCUGGUCUUCGGUGCAAUGCGACGCUGGCAAACGACUGGGCGACGGCCAGCGCAAAUCGACUCGCAAGAGUCGGCUCGGCCUUUGCGUCGUCACGUGCGGCCCGUCUUGAAACACGGACCAAGGAGUCUAACAUGUGAGCGAGCGAUUGAGAUUGUCGAAUCUCAAACGCGCAAUGAAAGUGAAGUGUCGUCUGACGGCACGAGCGGAGAUCCGUCGUCACUCGUGGCGGCGGCGCAUCCGCGGGCCACGCCAUCGGCUGGCUUGCUCUUCACUGAGCACUGCUGAGGCGUGGACUAGAGCCCACACGUUGGGACCCGAAAGAUGGUGAACUAUGCCUGGCCAGGAUGAAGCCAGAGGAAACUGGUGGAGGUCCGCCGCGAUUCUGACGUGCAAAUCGAGUCUGAGCUGGGUAUAGGGGCGAAAGACCAAUCGAACCAUCUAGUAGCUGGUUCCGCCCGAAGUUUCCCUCAGGAUAGCUGGCGCUCGUGUGAUACGGAGUUUCAUCCGGUAAAGCGAAUGAUCAGAGGAGCUGGGCUCCUUGCGAGCUCAACCUAUUCUCAAACUUUCAAUGGGUGAGACGUCUCGCUGGCUUCACUGCAGCGACGACUCUGAAUCCGAGUGCCCAGUGGGCCACUUUUGGUAAGCAGAACUGGCGAUGCGGGAUGAACCGCAUGUCGAGUUAAGGUGCCUAAGCGGACGCAAAUCAGAUACCAUGAAAGGUGUUGAUUGCUCACGACAGCAGGACGGUGGCCAUGGAAGUCGGCACCCGCUAAGGGUGUGUAACAACUCACCUGCCGAAGCAAUCAGCCCUGAAAAUGGAGGCGCUAAAGCGUUCCACCGAUACUCGACCGUCGGCAGGCGACGUGCAUGCCACGUCUCAAGCCACGACGAGUAGGGCGGCGCGGUGGUGAGCGUCGAAGGCGUAGCCGUGAGGCUAGCUGGAGCCGCCAUCGGUGCAGAUCUUGGUGGUAGUAGCAAAUACAAGCAAGAUCCUUGUGGACCGAUGUGGAGAAGGGUUCCGCGCGAACAGUACUUGGACGUGGGUGAGUCGGCCCUAAGCCAACGGGUAAUUCCCGCAUCCCGUGUUGAACGACACAAUCAUUCGAAUAACAUGGGUUGAUGGCGAAAGGGAAUGCGGUCAAUAUUCCGCAACCGGACGCGGGCACAAUGCUCACUCUGUGGGCACGUCGCGGCGACGCCAACAGACUCGGUCUCGCUGACCAUGACCCGAGGUAGAGUUUUCUAUUCUAGUGGGGUUCGGCCGUGGAAGAUAUUCGCUAUGAGAAAACGAGGGUCUUGUCGGGACUCGCGCAUGGAUACCCGCAGAGCGGUGUGUACUUCACGCCGUCUCGUGCGUCAUGGUCGGGCCCUUGAAACACCGAGCGAGGGGACAUGCUCAAUGCCCGCGUCCGUCCGUACCCGACACCGCAUCAGGUCUCCAAGGUGAACAGCCUCUGGUCGAUAGACGAAUGUAGGUAAGGGAAGUCGGCAAAAUGGAUCCGUAACUUCGGGAUAAGGAUUGGCUCUGAGGCUUCGGUCGUUCGGGCCUCUCUGUGAAGUGGUUAAGGUGCCGCGAUCACUUGGCUAGGUCUUGCUGGUCACGAGACGUACUGGACCUGUCCGCGUGCUACCCGCAUGGAUCGGUUUGGCUUGUCGGCCUGUCUGGCCGUCGCGUGUCGUCGCCGGCAACGGUGGCGCGCGCGGUCGACGGGAACCACCGCGUCGUUCGGCAAUUAGAAGCAACUCAGAACUGGCACGGACCAGGGGAAUCCGACUGACUAAUUAAAUCAUAGCAUCGCGAUGGCCAAGGUCGGUGUU
rnacentral:rRNA from 1 species